AGCGUACAAGGUGGAUGCCUUGGCAAUCAGAGGCGAAGAAGGACGUGCUAAUCUGCGAAAAGCUUGGAUGAGUCGAUAAGAGGCGUUUAAUCCAAGAUAUCCGAAUGGGGAAACCCAGUAGAUGAAGAAUCUACUAUCAACAAGUGAAUUCAUAGCUUGUUGAGGCAAACCGGGAGAACUGAAACAUCUAAGUACCCCGAGGAAAAGAAAUCAACCGAGAUUUCGUCAGUAGCGGCGAGCGAAAGCGAAAGAGCCAGUAAGUGAUAACAGUAUGGUUAGGAGAAUGUGUUGGGAAGCACAAUCAAAGAGGGUGAUAAUCCCGUAUCUAAAAACCAUAUUGUGGUACUAAGCUAACGAGAAGUAGGGCGGGACACGUGAUAUCCUGUUUGAAGAAGGGGGGACCAUCCUCCAAGGCUAAAUACUCCUGAUUGACCGAUAGUGAACCAGUACUGUGAAGGAAAGGCGAAAAGAACCCCGGUGAGGGGAGUGAAAUAGAACCUGAAACCUUGUACGUACAAGCAGUGGGAGCCCCAUCACUUAAUCCGAUUGGAAGGUGAUGAAAAGCAACCGCACUUAAACAAUGGUAAGAGGAGCGAAGCGAGUCAAACCACCCAAAAGAAGCAGUGGGAUUAAGUGAUGGGGUGACUGCGUACCUUUUGUAUAAUGGGUCAGCGACUUAUAUUUUGUAGCGAGGUUAACCGAAUAGGGGAGCCGAAGGGAAACCGAGUCUUAACUGGGCGUCUAGUUGCAAGGUAUAGACCCGAAACCCGGUGAUCUAGCCAUGGGCAGGUUGAAGGUUGGGUAACACUAACUGGAGGACCGAACCGACUAAUGUUGAAAAAUUAGCGGAUGACUUGUGGCUGGGGGUGAAAGGCCAAUCAAACCGGGAGAUAGCUGGUUCUCCCCGAAAUCUAUUUAGGUAGAGCCUUGAGGUGACACCUUUGGGGGUAGAGCACUGUUUCGGCUAGGGGUCCAUCCCGGAUUACCAACCCGAUGCAAACUACGAAUACCAAAGAGUGAUACUCAGGAGACACACGGCGGGUGCUAACGUCCGUCGUGGAGAGGGAAACAACCCAGACCGCCAGCUAAGGUCCCCAAGUCUAUAUUAAGUGGGAAACGAAGUGGGAAGGCUUAGACAGCUAGGAUGUUGGCUUAGAAGCAGCCAUCAUUUAAAGAAAGCGUAAUAGCUCACUAGUCGAGUCGGCCUGCGCGGAAGAUGUAACGGGGCUGAAAUAUAGCACCGAAGCUGCGGCAUCAGGCGUAUCACUAAUACGCCUUACGAUUAACAACAUGGAAUGGCGCGAAGCGACAUGAAAGGUUGUUCAAGCAACCCGAACGUUGAGUCGGGCAUCUUAGAGUGAGGAUGAUUAGUGAUACGCCUGUUGGGUAGGGGAGCGUUGUGUAAGCGGAAGAAGGUUCAUCGAGAGGUGGGCUGGACGUAUCACAAGUGCGAAUGCUGACAUAAGUAACGAUAAAACGGGUGAAAAACCCGUUCGCCGGAAGACCAAGGGUUCCUGUCCAACGUUAAUCGGGGCAGGGUGAGUCGGCUCCUAAGGCGAGGCUGAAAAGCGUAGUCGAUGGGAAACAGGUUAAUAUUCCUGUACUUGGUAAAGCUGCGAUGUGGGGACGGAGUAGGUUAGGUUAUCGCACUGUUGGAUAUGUGCGUUUAAGUUGGUAGGUGGGAAGUUUAGGCAAAUCCGGACUUCCUUAACACAGAGAGAUGAUGACGAGGCUCUACGGAGCUGAAGUAACUGAUACCACACUUCCAGGAAAAGCCACUAAGCGAAAGGCUUUACUAAACCGUACUGAAAACCGACACAGGUGGUCAGGUAGAGAAUACUCAGGCGCUUGAGAGAACUCGGGUGAAGGAACUAGGCAAAAUAGCACCGUAACUUCGGGAGAAGGUGCGCCGGCGUAGAUUGUAGUCCCUAGCGGGCGAAGGUUGAACCGGUCGAAGAUACCAGCUGGCUGCAACUGUUUAUUAAAAACACAGCACUCUGCAAACACGAAAGUGGAGGUAUAGGGUGUGAUGCCUGCCCGGUGCUGGAAGGUUAAUUGAUGGUGUCAUCGCAAGAGAAGCACCUGAUCGAAGCCCCAGUAAACGGCGGCCGUAACUAUAACGGUCCUAAGGUAGCGAAAUUCCUUGUCGGGUAAGUUCCGACCUGCACGAAUGGCAUAAUGAUGGCCAGGCUGUCUCCACCCGAGACUCAGUGAAAUUGAAAUCGCCGUGAAGAUGCGGUGUACCCGCGGCUAGACGGAAAGACCCCGUGAACCUUUACUAUAGCUUGACACUGAACAUUGAAUUUUGAUGUGUAGGAUAGGUGGGAG
rnacentral:rRNA from 1 species